rnacentral:rRNA from 1 species
UACGUAGGGCGCAAGCGUUGUCCGGAAUCAUUGGGCGUAAAGAGCUCGUAGGCGGCCUGUUGCGUCCGCUGUGAAAUCCCGGGGCUUAACCCCGGGCGUGCAGUGGAUACGGGCUGGCUGGAGGCAGGCAGGGGAGAACGGAAUUCCCGGUGUAGCGGUGAAAUGCGCAGAUAUCGGGAGGAACACCGGUGGCGAAGGCGGUUCUCUGGGCAUGUACUGACGCUGAGGAGCGAAAGCGUGGGGAGCGAACAGG